rnacentral:misc_RNA from 1 species
GGACAUUAGUCCUUUUAGCUGAAAUCUUCAACUGACGACCAUGCAACUCCGACUCAUUAAGCAAAAGAGCAUUCUGUACAGAUUCAACUUCAACAAACUCAACAUAUGCAAAUCCCUUGGGUUGGCCAAACUUGUCUGUUAAAAUCGUUAUUCUGUUCACAGUCCCACAAGACUGAAAAUGUUGUUGGACUUCUUCUGGCGUACAUGAGUAAUCCACAUUUCCAACAUAGAUUGAACGAGAAUCCACUUCCUCUUUCUCAGCUUGGGUUGCAGUGUCACUAGAAGAAUCUUGGACGGCGCCCAUCUCCUUCUCGACCUUCGCCUGCAUCUCGCGGAGAGCGGCCGCCUCUUCCUCGAUCUCCUUGAGCCGCUUCUUCAUGUCCUCGAUAUUCUCGGGCUUGGGGGAGGAGGAGGAGGGGUCCGCGGCGGCGGCGAUCUCGUCGGCGGCAACCAUCUCGUCGUCCGCGUAGGGGAUGUCGGCGCCGUAGACCUCGUGCUCCG